rnacentral:rRNA from 1 species
CAGAGGUCUCAAGCGUUGUUCGGAAUCACUGGGCGUAAAGGGUGUGUAGGCGGUGUGCUAAGUCAGAUGUGAAAGCCCGGGGCUCAACCUCGGAACUGCAUCCGAUACUGGCAUGCUAGAGAAUUGGAGAGGAGUCUAGAAUUCACGGUGUAGCAGUGAAAUGCGUAGAUAUCGUGAGGAAUACCAAGUGCGAAGGCAGGACUCUGGACAUUUUCUGACGCUGAGACACGAAGGCCAGGGGAGCAAACGGGAUUAGAUACCCCGGUAGUCCUGGCAGUAAACGGUGCACGUUUGGUGUGGGGAGGUUCGACCCUUCCUGUGCCGGAGCUAACGCGUUAAACGUGCCGCCUGGGAAGUACGGUCGCAAGACUA